UCUUACAUCUACAUCAGUCUUGCAAUGGAUAACAUCGAAACUACUUGUGCUAUCGCUCUUUUGCUUCGGGAGAGAAGUAAACGAUCGUUGUGGUCCACAUCAACAAAGAGUAGAAUGUAAGUCUUGUUGCAAAGAACCAACCUGCCAACACAAAAGCCCUCCCAAAUGUACCCACGUUUGCCCUCUAGUAUGCCUUCUCGGAUGUGAAUGUUUACCAGGAUAUAUCAGACUUACAGAAGAUGGGUCUUGUGUGAAACAUUGUUAAAAAAGUUACAUAGAUUGUAAACAACAAUAAAUGUAAUUGAACCAAUAUCAA
rnacentral:misc_RNA from 1 species